CCUGAACCUGUCCGAUUGAUGGAUUGACACCCGUGACGACCUGACUGAAGAAUGGGGUGAGCCAAUAGAAGAUCUUGUCUCAAUUCUUUUGAAUGAUGGAAAUGAAGAGCACAUGGUGAAGAUCGUCUUUAACUUGGGGAAAGAGGUGCGGACAUAGCUUAUCAAUUUUCUAUAAAAGAAUGUGAAUAUUUUCACUUGGGCUCCGACGGACAUGCC
rnacentral:lncRNA from 1 species